rnacentral:lncRNA from 1 species
GACAAAUCCAUUUGUGAUGAAAAACUCAAUAAAUCUAAGGUUUAGAAAUUGGUAAAUUGGGUUUGGAGGUACAAGGAAAUGUGCAUUGACAGGUGGGUAUUCCACGGUCAUUAAUUAUACAAGUUCCUUGAAUAUUAGUACGUCCUGUUCCUUCCACACAUCUCCGAAAGCAUCCAUCUCUAGCUGCUCCGAAUGUGCAUAUGUUAAAUCCUAUCUCAAUAGUGCAUGUGUUGAAUCCAUUCACUACUGCCAUACUUCUCUCAUCUGCAUCCACAACACUAAUUAAAGUGAUUCUCUCAUCUUGAAUGCCAAAAUUAGAGAAAAAUAAAAAAAUUUAGUUCUUUUUUCGAAUUAGUCAAUGUAUAAACUAUAGUUUGAUUAAUGUGUUAGAUUUAACAAACGAUAGUUUCUAAGCAGCAGGGUAGUAGUAGGGCAGUCCGGCGCAUUAGGCGUGUGCCGCCUUCAUGCAAGAUCCGAGGAAGGAUUGCAACCUAAGGGGUCGUUUGGUUGGGAAUUAUAGGUAUCCCAUGAUUAAUUAUCUCGGGAUUGAUUGUCCAGGGAUUAAUUAUCCCACCCUCCCAUAGGGAUAAAAACAACACUAUAAUCCCGGGAUAACUAAUCUUGGAAUUUAUUAUACCUUGAUUUUAUCCCAACCAAACAUGGGAUAAACUCAUCUCAAAUCUGAUUCAGGGAUUAAUUAUCCCUUAUCCCUCAUACCAAACGAACCUAGGGUUGUGAUGUAGACAGCCUACCCUAAUGCAAGUUUUAGUGGCUACUUUCAUGGCACGAACCUUUGACCAUAUAUCAUACGAAAAUAAAUUUAUUGUUGCUCCAAGAUCCCCUUCAAGAGAUAGUUUCUAAGCGACUAGAAAUAAAAUUAUGAACAUGCAUCUAGUGGCCGGAGAUUAAAUUUGAACUAUAGUUUGAUGAGUUCAAAUUCAGCGCCUUCCUGACCACUUGUAAUUGACCUAUUAGAUUCCAAUUGUUUCUUUAUAACUAUGUAAAAGAAAUUGAGGAAAGGACUGUUAAGAUCUGAUUGAAAUUUCUACUUUAGGUAAAAGGACAAAAUUGAAUGUAAUACCUGAUACAACAGCAAAAAGGAUUAUUAGAAUAACAAGUGAUCUCAAGGACAUUGUCAUCUUGUACCUCGGAUCAAUG